GGGUGAAAAUGGAUUUCAACUUAGCAGCAAGAUUGCUCAAUCAAACUUAAUUCCUUCUGGGUUGUGCGUUCUUUAUCAUGAAUGGCUUCUGUUGAGUUAGCUGCCCUGUUUGAUAUGCUUCUUACUCAAGAACAGUGAAUGGACAAUAGUAAUCCUGAUGGGUGAAACUAGUAGUCUUAAUCCUUGAUCUCUCUGUGUCUUAUCUCAGCCACAAUUUUGUUCACUUUCAAGCUAUCAGCAAGUGUUUCUGAUCUCUGUAAUGAUCUUAUUAGAGCAUUUCCAAUUGAAAUGCAAGGCUCCAAUUCAAUUA